CGCACCUUGCGCCCUCUGGUAUUCCGGAGGGCAUGCCUGUUUGAGUGUCAUGAAGACUUCAACCCCUCGGGUUUUUCUCGGGGACGUUGGACUUGGGCGUCUGCCACGUCGUUGGCUCGCCUCAAAUGUGUCAGUGGUAAUCGGGCCCUUGACGGGAGUAAUAAGUUUCUCUUGUCUGUCGGUCGUCGAUGGCUGCUACCAACCCUGCCCCCGUGGCAAUUCUGACCCUGACCUCAAAUCAGGUAGGACUACCCGCUGAACUUAA
rnacentral:misc_RNA from 1 species